GAAGGAAAUAAAGCUGCAAGGCUUAAUCCAAGUUAACGUGUUUCUUAUUAUUAAGUGUGCUUGUCUUUGCAACCUUAUUAAUGUUCUUAUGAUGUUUUUACAGCCUCUGCCUGCAGCAUGAUUCCCUUCACCUGGAGCAAUUCUGAACAAAGGUCUGCACUUUUGUCCUGCACGGGUCCCCUGCUAGCUGCUGGGGACCACUGGGCAGCUGCCUGAGGUGUGGAAAUGCUGGAAUGUGGAAGAGGAGGAACUGAGAGCUGCUGAAGAUCUGGGGAAGCUGAAGUGAGAUGUGACUCAACAGCAUAUCAUCCCUGGCUCAUAGGAAGAGGCACCGACACAUCUGUCAGCAACCUGAAGAUUAUCAAGAGGAACUACAAGGAUCUGGGAGCAGCAGUGAAGAACUCGGGAGCACAGGUUGUUUUCUCAUCAGUCCUCCAGACACCUUGGAAUACUAACGCAGCCUGUGAACAAAGAGCCUGUAAAAACUUCGUUCUGAAGAAUGGAAGGAAUGAGGUCAGCUACAAAAGAGGAGGUUGGAUGUCAUCGAGUCACAGCACCCCCGGGACAGAAAAGAUGUGAGGGUUUUUUUGGUAUUUUGUCAACUUUUGCAGCUCGCUGCUGUGGGAGGAGCUCAAGGCAAAUAACUCUGAGAUGGGAUUUGGCCAAAGGUUGGGAAACUGAUCAUUAAUAACUUCUGUUGAGACUGUGCUCAGGGUAAUUGCUCUGUAUUUCUUGUCACAAACCUGUUGUCUAGGAGGGGUCAGGCAGAACUGUUCCCUACCCCCGCCAAGCACAGGGCUGCUGGUUGGGCUUUUUGUGCCUUUCAUUGCAUUGAAGCAUCAAAUACUUCCACCUGGAAAGGCACAGUGCUAAUGGCUGGAUGAGGGGUAGCCUAGUGGCAGGCGCUAAUAAAGCAGUGGGCAGGCUGCCAUAAAAGUUCAGGUUCUGAAAGGCUGGCUGGCAUUUGAAAACACCGCCUUUCCUCAGCAUGGAUGGAACAGCAGCAGCAUUCUGGGCCUUGCGCUGUAUCAGUGGCUGUGCUGUGUGCUAGGGCUGUCCCUCAAGUUUGGUUCCAGCUUCCUCUGUUGUUUUUUUCUUCAUUAUGCAACUGCCUAAAAGGCUUCUUGUCUGAACCUGAAGCAGCGUCUGAAAAACUCUGUUUUAAUUACUGGCACAUGCAGCUCCGUGACACACAUCCUGGUGUAACCUGGGCAUUGCUACUUGAACUGGGAAGUGCUGAUAUCACUGUAACGAGCAUAAUAUGGACCUUAGACAACAUAAGACUGAGAACAGAACACAGCUCCUCCCUCAGAUAGCAUUCCUUUGAGCAGUGACUGUAUAAGUUUGUUUGUGUCUUUUUCCCCCCCCCCAUGUUUAUUAUUUCAAGAAGCAUAUAUAAAAUGUGUUCAGUUUAUGAGAAAACAAGAAGAUCCUGGCCUUCCUGUCAGCACUGCAGGCUCAUCCUAUGCUUCAGAAAUCCAUCAGAUUCCUUCCCCCUCAGAUCACCAGUUGUGAGUGUUCUGUGGGACAGAUGUAUGCCUUGUUUACAUUGCACAACAACACUGUCUUCAGGUUCUGCUCCCAGUGUGCAUACACAAUGUGGAAUCACAUCCAGCUCAUUUGCUUUCCCUCUGUUCUGUUGUCUCUGAAAAGCCAAGAGGAUUAAAAAAGGCAGCAAACAUUCACUAUUGUUAAUAAGCCCAGUUCAUCUGACUUUAAAUAAACAAAGUAAUAAAUCCAUUAGGAAAUAAGAUGUGACUUCUCCUAGUUACCCUCCAGGAGAGAACCAUG
rnacentral:lncRNA from 1 species